CAAUAGCGUAUAUUAAAGUUGUUGCAGUUAAAAAGCUCGUAGUUGGGUUUGUGGCGUAUGGUGUGUUCCGGGCACUUGUUGUCUGAGUAACUUGCCAUUGCCAUCCUUGGGUGGAACCUGUGUGGCAUUAGGUUGUCGUGCAGGGGAUGCCCAUCGUUUACUGUGAAAAAAUUAGAGUGUUCAAAGCAGGCUUAUGCCGUUGAAUAUAUUAGCAUGGAAUAAUAAGAUAGGACUUUUUUGCUAUUUUGUUGGUUUGCGCGAGAAGGUAAUGAUUAAUAGGGAUAGUUGGGGGUAUUCGUAUUCCAUUGUCAGAGGUGAAAUUCUUGGAUUUUUGGAAGACGAACUACUGCGAAAGCAUUUACCAAGGAUGUUUUCAUUAA
rnacentral:rRNA from 1 species